rnacentral:lncRNA from 1 species
GUCUCUGUGAUUCUUACUGUGCCCAGGGACUCAGCAGGGAAUCGUGUUCUACCCAGCACGUUCGCUGUCUUGGUGCAGCCUCCAUAAGGCUGUGUAGUAAGAGGGUUUCAGACCAUUGGACAUCCUCAAGCUUCUCUCUGGAAUCAUUUUUUCCUUGACUCUUUGUGAGAAAAGUUCCUAACCCCCUGUGUCUUAGCACAAAUGUCUUACAAUUAGAGUUAAACAGGUUGGCUGUCACCUACAGAGAGACCCUGGUAUUUCCACUGACAACUGACUUCUUGCCUUCUUUACACAUUAAUUAUCUCUUUACUCUUAAUAUCACAAUCUUCACUUAUUGUAGUUAGUUGUUUCCUUGUUUUUUACAUGCCUCUCCUCACUAGAAGGGAGCCCUUUGGUUAGGGAAAUUUUGUCACUUAUGUUUACUUCCCAAAACCAAAACAGCAUCUGGAACAUAAUUGGUAAAUGAGUGAAUGCGUGAAUAAGUGAAUAUAGCCACUUAGAUUCGGCACGUUACUCUUAACGGAACAUUUGUGCAGCGAUUCCCACACAGUUGUGGGUCACAUUUUCCUUGAUAUUCUGAGAAAUGAUGUGGACUUAAUCCCUAAAUAGGUAUGCACAUACACACACGCAGUAGUGCUGCAGACAGCAUCAAGUGCUGUGCUACCCCCUGAAAACUGCACCCCAACCCAUGAAAUUGCCCAGGCUUCUGAGGCCAGCGUCUGGGCCUGACAAAAGACUUCUGGCAAACGCUACCUGUGACGUUGACUCAGCCCUGCGAAUACUCCUAGCAGAACAAAACAAAGGAAGCCUUUCCACUGGUCCUUGAGGGAGCCUCCAGACAGGUUGAGACCCACAACCAAAAUUACUUGAAACCAAGGUCCAUACCGCUCCCUCUGGCACCAGCAGCAUGCACCAGGAUUUUGGGUUGCUAUCCUCACGCCCACUGCCCAUCUGGGGAUGCUGGAUGGUAACUGGACAGUUCAAAACUGCCUUCUCUGACGUCAGAGCAGAAACUUCUUUCUUCACCAAGCCUUUCUCCGGUUGUGAAGAGAUAACUAUUAUCAUUUGAAGGUAAAAUUGGUUACUUAUAGGACUCGCGGAAGUGAUUUCAUCCACCUGCCAUCUCUAAAGCACUUUUCCUUAAAAAUAUUAGCCAAGGACGCAUGUAGUAAAUUAAC